GAUGAACGCUGGCGGCGUGCCUAAUACAUGCAAGUCGUGCGGCAGCAUGCUUCUCACCAAGGUUCGAAGCGGUAGAUAGUGUGUGGUAGAUAGUAGAUGGUUUUUCCAUUUACCAACUACCACUUACCAUCUACCAUUCACUUCGAGCUUUAGUGAGAAGUGAUGGCGAGCGGCGGACGGCUGAGUAACGCGUGGGAACGUG
rnacentral:rRNA from 1 species